rnacentral:rRNA from 1 species
GACAGAGGCCUCGAGCGUUAGGCGGAAUCACUGGGCUUAAAGCGUGUGUAGGCGGAAGAGUAAGUACCUUGUGAAAUCCCACGGCUCACCCGUGGAACCGCUGGGUAUACUGCUCUUCUUGGGCCACUCAGGGGCGACUGGAACAAGCGGUGGAGCGGUGAAAUGCGUAGAUAUCGCUUGGAACGCCGAAGGUGAAAACAGGUCGCUAGGAGUGCGCCGACGCUGAGACACGAAAGCCAGGGGAGCAAACGGG